rnacentral:rRNA from 1 species
AAAGUGGAGCAAUCCAUGAGUAAAGUGGCGUACGGGUGAGUAACACGUGGGUAAUCUACCUCUUAGUGGGGAAUAACCUGGGGAAACCCGGGCUAAUACCGCAUAAGCUCGAGAGAGGAAAGCAGCAAUGCGCUGAGAGAGGAGCCCGCGGCCGAUUAGCUAGUUGGGAGGGUAAAAGCCUACCAAGGCAAAGAUCGGUAGCCGGCCUGAGAGGGCACACGGCCACACUGGCACUGAAACACGGGCCAGACUCCUACGGGAGGCAGCAGUGGGGAAUCUUGCACAAUGGGGGCAACCCUGACGCAGCGACGCCGCGUGAGCGAUGAAGCCCUUCGGGGUGUAAAGCUCUUUCGGCAGGGAAGAUGAUGACGGUACCUGCAGAAGCAGCUGCGGCUAACUACGUGCCAGCAGCCGCGGUAAUACGUAGGCAGCGAGCGUUGUUCGGAGUUACUGGGCGUAAAGGGUGUGUAGGCGGUUCUUUAAGUUUGGUGUGAAAUCUCCCGGCUCAACCGGGAGGGUGCGCCGAAUACUGAGGGACUCGAGUGCGGGAGAGGAAAGUGGAAUUCCUGGUGUAGCGGUGAAAUGCGUAGAUAUCAGGAGGAACACCGGUGGNUGUAGACGGCUUUCUGGACCGUAACUGACGCUGAGACACGAAAGCGUGGGUAGCAAACAGGAUUAGAUACCCUGGUAGUCCACGCCCUAAACGAUGCAUAUUUGGUGUGGGUCAUUCAGUUGAUCCGUGCCGGAGCUAACGCGUUAAAUAUGCCGCCUGGGGAGUACAGUCGCAAGGCUGAAACUC